UACGGAGGAUGCGAGCGUUAUCCGGAUUUAUUGGGUUUAAAGGGUGCGUAGGCGGCUUUUUAAGUCAGCGGUGAAAUUUUGCAGCUUAACUGUAACAGUGCCGUUGAUACUGGGGAGCUAGGAUCUGGUUGCUGUGGGUGGAAUGUGUGGUGUAGCGGUGAAAUGCUUAGAGAUCACACAGAAUAUCGAUUGCGAAGGCAGCUCACAAAGCCAAGAUUGACGCUGAGGCACGAAAGUGUGGGGAUCAAACAGGA
rnacentral:rRNA from 1 species